UACGUAGGGGGCAAGCGUUGUCCGGAAUUAUUGGGCGUAAAGAGCUCGUAGGCGGUGUGUCGCGUCGGCCGUGAAAACCUGCAGCUUAACUGUGGGCUUGCGGUCGAUACGGGCAUCACUGGAGUUCGGCAGGGGAGACUGGAAUUCCUGGUGUAGCGGUGAAAUGCGCAGAUAUCAGGAGGAACACCGGUGGCGAAGGCGGGUCUCUGGGCCGAUACUGACGCUGAGGAGCGAAAGCGUGGGGGAGCGAACAGG
rnacentral:rRNA from 1 species